CCUACGGGUGGCAGCAGUGAGGAAUAUUGGUCAAUGGGCGUAAGCCUGAACCAGCCACGUCGCGUGAGGGAUGAAGGUUCUAUGGAUCGUAAACCUCUUUUAUAAGGGAAUAAAGUGUGGGACGUGUCCUAUUUUGUAUGUACCUUAUGAAUCAGGAUCGGCUAACUACGUGCCAGCAGCCGCGGUAAUACGGAGGAUCCGAGCGUUAGCCGGAUUUAUUGGGUUUAAAGGGUGCGUAGGCGGCCUUUUAAGUCAGCGGUGAAAGUCUGUGGCGCAACCAUAGAAUUGCCGUUGAAACUGGGGGGCUUGAGUAUGUUUGAGGCAUGCGGAAUGCGUGGUGUAGCGGUGAAAUGCUUAGAUAUCACGCAGAACCCCGAUUGCGAAGGCAGCCUGCCAAGCCAUGACUGACGCUGAUGCACGAAAGCGUGGGGAUCAAACAGGAUUAGAUACCCCUGUAGUC
rnacentral:rRNA from 1 species